GAUGAACGCUGGCGGCAUGCUUUACACAUGCAAGUCGAACGGUAACAGGCCGCAAGGUGCUGACGAGUGGCGAACGGGUGAGUAAUGCAUCGGAACGUGCCCAGUCGUGGGGGAUAACGCAGCGAAAGCUGCGCUAAUACCGCAUACGAUCUAUGGAUGAAAGCGGGGGACCGUAAGGCCUCGCGCGAUUGGAGCGGCCGAUGUCAGAUUAGGUAGUUGGUGGGGUAAAGGCUCACCAAGCCAACGAUCUGUAGCUGGUCUGAGAGGACGGCCAGCCACACUGGGCCUGAGACACGGCCAGGACUCCUACGGGAGGAAGCAGUGGGGAAUUUUGGACAAUGGGCGCAAGCCUGAUCCAGCAAUGCCGCGUGCAGGAAGAAGGCCUUCGGGUUGUAAACUGCUUUUGUACGGAACGAAAAGGCUCUGGUUAAUACCUGGGGCUCAUGACGGUACCGUAAGAAUAAGCACCGGCUAACUACGUGCCAGCCGCCGCCGUAAAAC
rnacentral:rRNA from 1 species